AUGCACAGGGGAAUUCGAGAUACAAGUGCGAAUUACAAGCUCUGGCUAGAGUACAGGAAUGGAGAGCGAGAGAAAGAAGAAGGAAAGGAAGCCGCCGCCGCCGUUCGUGAUCCACUGGAUACCCUCCUUAGUCGCUUCCUCUCGCGUACUUGUAGUCUGAGGGGUUCUCAACCAGGCCAGGCCCAUGAGCUAGACGGGGCAAGCCCAUACAGGCAAGGUGAUGAUGGAGAAGAUAUUGACUCAUCUUGUACCGUGACGAGUAGACCGGUUUUACGAGUUGAGACUAUUUAUGUCAGCGCGGCGAUUCUUGCUGCAAAAAGUAGUUUCUUUUACAAGCUUUUCUCAAAUGGCAUGAAAGAAUCUGGCCAGAGGCAGGCAACAGUCAGAAUUUCUGAUUCAGAAGAGAAAGCCUUCAUGGAGCUGUUACGCUUUAUGUAUAGUGGAAAGUUGACAGCAACAACUGAGCCCAUUCCUCUGGUUGAUAUAUUGAUGGCUGCUGACAAAUUUGAGGUCGUUUCCUGCAUGAAGCUUUGCAUUCAGCGUCUCAUGGUCCUGCCUAUGACUCCAGAAUCUGCACUGAUGUGCCUAGAUCUCCCAUGUUCCAUUUCAAUGGCAGCGGACCUGACAGAGGCAGCCAAGAAAUUCCUUGCCGAAAGGUACAUGGAAUUCCUCUCGACACAGUUCCAAGAUGAACUUAUGAGAAUGCCUCCUGCUGGGAUUGAGGCCAUCUUAUCAAGGAAUGACUUCGGGGUUGCUUCCGAGGUAGCUGUCUAUGACUUCGUGCUCAGGUGGGCCUCUUCACCGUGCCCAAAUUCUGAAGAAAGGAUGGACAUCUCGAGUUCUCGGUUACUUCCACUAGUGCGUCUUCGUAUAACCAAUGCAGAUUUUUAUUCUUGCCAUACUGUUAACUGGGCUGUGAAGCGUGAGCAGUGCCGCUCUCUGCCUACACUGGGACCAAUAUUCAGUUGGGAAGAGUAUGUCUUCGCCCUCUCGGUACACUGGGUUGGUCAUCUUGGGCUCUAUAUAGAGAUGGAAGAAAACAAAGGGCCAACAAGGACGGUACACUUUGAGUUUCAGGCAAAGACAAAGCCGCUAUUGCAGUUUGUGACCUGGCACAAGGGCACCUUCGCCGCUGGCUGUGAGGGGGCUGUUUGCUCCAUGGAACUCCUUGGCAUUCCUUGGUCGGGGUUUAUUGCUGACGACAGCCCCUUCUUCAUCGACGACACGCUCCAUCUGCGAGUUAAGCUCAAGAUAAUGCAGGAGCCCCAGUGA
rnacentral:rRNA from 1 species